rnacentral:misc_RNA from 1 species
CGGUAAUUAAAAUUGGUGAUUGUGAUCUUCACCCUCCAGUAAUCCUUGUAAUUCAGCUUCACAUGCCAAUGGACUCGAAUGGGGCACAUGUGGCUGGUGCACUGAACCAAGGGUGCAUUGUUGCCUGAUUUAUCAGGAGCUGAUACUACUGAAGCCAAAUAUGGAGAAUCUGGAUCCACACAGCUCCCAGAACCCGCCGUGUUGUUUUGACAUCCGCAAGUGCAGGUUGGGCAGUUGACUAUAGUAUCAUUGUAGAAGGAAGAGAGGGAAACACAACAAGUGGGUGUCUUCUGAGCAAGGAAUUGAGAAUAGGUGCAUGUAACAUUCCAAGUCAUCAAAGCUUGAGUUACUCUUCUUUUAUCUCCAGAUACAAAUUUGGUUGGUUUCACAAUCUUUGCUGGCCCACAAG